GGUCAAGCGAAUAAGCGCACACGGUGGAUGCCUUGGCGGUCAGAGGCGAUGAAGGACGUGGCAGCCUGCGAAAAGUAUCGGGGAGCUGGCAACAAGCUUUGAUCCGGUAAUGUCCGAAUGGGGAAACCCACCCGCUUGCGGGUAUCCUGCAGUGAAUACAUAGCUGCUGGAAGCGAACCUGGUGAACUGAAAUAUCUAAGUAACCAGAGGAAAAGAAAUCAACCGAGAUUCCGUAAGUAGCGACGAGCGAACGCGGACUAGCCCUUAAGCUGGAUUGGUUCUAGGAAAACGCUCUGGAAAGAGAGCGGCCAUAGAAGGUGAUAGCCCUGUAUCUGAAAGGGCCAUUCCAGUGAAGACGAGUAGGGCGGGGCACGUGAAACCCUGUCUGAACAUGGGGGGACCAUCCUCCAAGGCUAAAUACUACUGACCGACCGAUAGUGAACCAGUACCGUGAGGGAAAGGCGAAAAGAACCCCGGAGAGGGGAGUGAAAUAGAACCUGAAACCGUGUGCGUACAAGCAGUAGGAGCUCCGCAAGGAGUGACUGCGUACCUUUUGUAUAAUGGGUCAGCGACUUACUGUUCGUGGCAAGCUUAACCGUAUAGGGGAGGCGAAGGGAAACCGAGUCUGAUAAGGGCGCAUAGUCGCGGGCAGUAGACCCGAAACCGGGUGAUCUAGUCAUGCCCAGGGUGAAGGUGCGGUAACACGCACUGGAGGCCCGAACCCACUCCCGUUGCAAAGGUAGGGGAUGAGGUGUGAUUAGGAGUGAAAAGCUAAUCGAACCCGGAGAUAGCUGGUUCUCCUCGAAAGCUAUUUAGGUAGCGCCUCAUAUGUAUCCUCUCGGGGGUAGAGCACUGUUAUGGCUAGGGGGUCAUCGCGACUUACCAAACCAUUGCAAACUCCGAAUACCGAGACGGACUGUAUGGGAGACACACGGCGGGUGCUAACGUCCGUCGUGAAAAGGGAAACAACCCAGACCCACAGCUAAGGUCCCAAAUUCACUGCUAAGUGGAAAACCAUGUGGAAAGGCACAGACAGCCAGGAGGUUGGCUUAGAAGCAGCCACCCUUUAAAGAAAGCGUAAUAGCUCACUGGUCGAGUCGGUCUGCGGGGAAGAUUUAACGGGGCUAAGCAGUGAACCGAAGCUUGGGGUGCAUAACUUUGUUAUGCGCGGUAGAGGAGCGUUCCGUAAGCCGUUGAAGGUGGAUUGAGAAGUCUGCUGGAGGUAUCGGAAGUGCGAAUGCUGACAUGAGUAACGAUAAUGCGGGUGAAAAACCCGCACGCCGAAAGCCCAAGGUUUCCUUGCGCAACGUUAAUCGGCGCAGGGUGAGUCGGCCCCUAAGGCGAGGACGAAAGUCGUAGUCGAUGGGAAGCAGGGUUAAUAUUCCUGCACCUCGCGUAAGUGCGAUGGAGGGACGGAGAAGGUUAGGUGUACCAGGCGUUGGUUGUCCUGGGGAAAGGCGGUAGGUUUGGAUCUUUGGCAAAUCCGGGAUCCUUUAAGACCGAGCACCGAGACGAGCCUUUAUGGCGAAGUCACUGAUACCACGCUUCCAGGAAAAGCUCCUAAGCUUCAGCUUACGCAGACCGUACCGUAAACCGACACAGGUGGGUAGGAUGAGAAUUCUCAGGCGCUUGAGAGAACUCGGGUGAAGGAACUAGGCAACAUGGCACCGUAACUUCGGGAGAAGGUGCACCCUUUUUGGUGGCUCGUGCGAGCUAUAGCUGAAGAGGGUCGCAGUAACCAGGCCGCUGCGACUGUUUAUCAAAAACACAGCACUCUGCAAACACGAAAGUGGACGUAUAGGGUGUGACGCCUGCCCGGUGCUGGAAGGUUAAUUGAUGGGGUCAGCCGCAAGGCGAAGCUCUUGAUCGAAGCCCCAGUAAACGGCGGCCGUAACUAUAACGGUCCUAAGGUAGCGAAAUUCCUUGUCGGGUAAGUUCCGACCUGCACGAAUGGCGUAACGACAGCGGCGCUGUCUCCACCCGAGACUCAGUGAAAUUGAAAUCGCUGUGAAGAUGCAGCGUUCCCGUGGCAAGACGGAAAGACCCCGUGAACCUUUACUAUAGCUUUACACUGAACGUUGAGUUCGUCUGUGUAGGAUAGGUGGGAGGCUAUGAAACUGUGGCGCUAGCUGCAGCGGAGCCAUCCUUGAAAUACCACCCUGUCGUGCUUGACGUUCUAACCUGGGCCCAUUAUCUGGGUCGGGGACCGUGUAUGGUGGGUAGUUUGACUGGGGCGGUCUCCUCCUAAAGAGUAACGGAGGAGCUCGAAGGUACGCUCAGCGCGGUCGGACAUCGCGCACUGUGUGCAAAGGCAUAAGCGUGCUUGACUGCAAGAUCGACGGAUCAAGCAGGUAGGAAACUAGGACUUAGUGAUCCGGUGGCUGUAUGGAAGGGCCAUCGCUCAACGGAUAAAAGGUACUCCGGGGAUAACAGGCUGAUACCGCCCAAGAGUUCAUAUCGACGGCGGUGUUUGGCACCUCGAUGUCGGCUCAUCACAUCCUGGGGCUGUAGUCGGUCCCAAGGGUAUGGCUGUUCGCCAUUUAAAGUGGUACGCGAGCUGGGUUCAGAACGUCGUGAGACAGUUCGGUCCCUAUCUGCCAUGGGCGUUGGAGAUUUGAGAGGGGCUGCUCCUAGUACGAGAGGACCGGAGUGGACGAACCUCUGGUGUUCCGGUUGUCACGCCAGUGGCAUUGCCGGGUAGCUAUGUUCGGAAGCGAUAACCGCUGAAAGCAUCUAAGCGGGAAGCGCGCCUCAAGAUGAGAUCUCCCGGGGCACAAGCCCCCUGAAGGAACCAUGUAGACUACGUGGUUGAUAGGUCAGGUGUGUAAGUACAGCAAUGUAUUGAGCUAACUGAUACUAAUGAUCCGUGCGGCUUGACCAU
rnacentral:rRNA from 1 species